UACGGAGGGUGCAAGCGUUAUCCGGAUUCACUGGGUUUAAAGGGUGCGUAGGAGGGCAGGUAAGUCAGUGGUGAAAUCCCCGAGCUUAACUUGGGAACUGCCGUUGAUACUAUCUGUCUUGAAUAUUGUGGAGGUAAGCGGAAUAUGUCAUGUAGCGGUGAAAUGCUUAGAGAUGACAUAGAACACCUAUUGCGAAGGCAGCUUACUACGCAUAUAUUGACGCUGAGGCACGAAAGCGUGGGGAUCAAACAGG
rnacentral:rRNA from 1 species